CAUCGCCUACGGGAGGCAGCAGUGAGGAAUAUUGGUCAAUGGGCGAGAGCCUGAACCAGCCAAGUCGCGUGAGGGAAGACGGUCCUAUGGAUUGUAAACCUCUUUUGCCGGGGAGCAAAAAGCGGUACGUGUACCGCAUCGAGAGUACCCGGAGAAAAAGCAUCGGCUAACUCCGUGCCAGCAGCCGCGGUAAUACGGAGGAUGCGAGCGUUAUCCGGAUUUAUUGGGUUUAAAGGGUGCGCAGGCGGAGGCACAAGUCAGCGGUAAAAUCGCGGGGCUCAACCCCGCUCCGCCGUUGCAACUGU
rnacentral:rRNA from 1 species